AACGAAACCUUCUCUUUAAAAAGGAAAGAAAGUACUAUCGAUACAGAAAGCAAAAGUAUUUCCAGUCUCCUACUGAACUGUCACGGCAGACCUCUCUGUAUCUAUAUUUAGAGCUGUAUGUCCAUAUAUCUGCCUGAAUGUGUGAGUUCUUGGAAGUAUGGAUUCAUUGCCAGGAGCUGGUGAUUUCCUAUGCAGAGGUCGCUAACUACCAAGAAAUGUUACACUCGGACAAGUCCUGCGCUUGGGGAUCCUCUGUACGCCCGUUCACUGGUGCAGGUCUUCUGAACAAAUGCCUCCUGAGGAUUUCUGUGCCUGGAAAAUAUCUGUUAACAGACUGCUUUUACACCUACAUCAGGAUACUGAAGCUCAGAAAAAUUAAAUGAUUUGCCCAGGAUCACACAGCUAGUAAGCAGCCCAGCCAGAGCCUGUGUUAACUUGUUCAUCCGCUUCCUAUAAGAAAACAUCCAUUCAAGGCACAUGGGGCAACAAAGAAGGACUUAGAGCUGUGUGGCCCCUCGUCAGGGCAGUACCAGUUGCACCCAUAGUCCGGCCUGAAUACUCAGCUUAGGACUAUUGUGUCCAAUGUCCCAGACAUUUUGAAGCUACGUCUUAAAGUGUCCUGCUCAGAUGCAGUUCUCCUUGUGAAAUCCACAGGCCCCAAGGGAAGUGACUUUAAUCCAGUUUGCUCAUGCAAGAACAGACUGGCAUUUCACAUCCAGGAAAA
rnacentral:lncRNA from 1 species